rnacentral:lncRNA from 1 species
CCCCCCUCCCCGGGCAGCCAGUGCCAGAUGAGAGCAGGAGACAAAAGUAGCAUUUUCCUCGUACUCCGGGGCUGGCAGCGGGGCCUUCCCCCAGCACCACAUGGCUCCUGGCAGCCCUGCCCCCUGUGCCGGGGUGGCCGAGGCCCAGCCGGGCCCACUGGACCGAGGGACGGCGGCGGCCAGAGACUAGGGGGCCCGUGGGCCCAUAGCUGGGGCUGGCACCGGGCAGCCUGCUGGCCGGCGGGACCUGCCCUCCUCCCCCACCCGGGUGACCGGCUGGGCCCAGGGACGUCAUUUUCACUUCCUGGCUUUGGAGAAGACGCCUCCAUCCUCCGGCACCUCGGAAUGUGGCCCCGUCCCAGAGCACCACCCGAGACAUCAGGAGCCCAUCGUGGGCUAGGGAAGAUCCUCCGGGACCUAACGGCCCAGGUCUUCCACCCUUGGCCACCUCCCCAGGUGAUGCCUGAAGCUCAAGGGACUGUGUCCACCCUCAGGCCCUGCCCGUGGCUCUGGAUCGGCGGUCCCCAUCAGAGGCCUGGGCUGAGUCCUCAGGGGUCGACGCAGGUCCUCUGGGCAGCAUGGGGUGGUGCCGGGUGGACCCCACGGUGGCCUGUGUUCGCCACGUGGCCGUGGGUCAGUUCCUCGCUGGAGGAGACCCUUCCCCAGACACCUGCCGGGCACCCAGCCAAACCCUUGAGGCCUGGGAAGGUCUCUGGAUGCCACCCUACACCCCGCCCAGACUCCUCUCCCUGUGGUUCCUGGACAGAACAUUCCGUCACCACGAAACGAAGUUUGCCCAGGCCCUGCCUUCACCCUGGGAAAACCCAGCCGGGCAUGGGAAGGAGGAAUGCUGCCCGCCUGCCCGCCCAGACCAGAGUCGCCCCACAUGCCAGGCCAGGCCCGCAUCCUCCUGGGGCACACGGGAGCCCCAGGCUUCCCGGCAGGAAAAGCCCCCCACCGCAGAAGGGCUGGUCUCUGGUGGGGAGUUGCUGCUGGGUGGGGUGACCACAGGGCGGGGUUCAGGCUGGGGUAUUUUUAAUGAUGUAGUUGCAUCUGGUCACCGCCCCCUGCCACCCCCGAUUCUUUCCUGCCCUCCCCACCUUGUGACCCAGACUGUGGCUUGAAUUAAGAAUGUUUUCAGAUAAGUACACGCCUUUGAGGUUAAAAGUAUGCCUAAUGAUUAAACACCAGACAGAGAUCCCCACAGGAGAA